GAUGAACGCUAGCGGCAGGCUUAAUACAUGCAAGUCGAGGGGUAGCAAGAUUGUAGCAAUACAAUUGUUGACGACCGGCAAACGGGUGCGGAACACGUACACAACCUUCCUACAAGUGGGGAAUAGCCCAGAGAAAUUUGGAUUAAUACCCCGUAACAUAGCGAUGUGGCAUCACAUUGCUAUUAUAGCUCCGGCCCUUGUUGAUGGGUGUGCGGCUGAUUAGAUAGUUGGAGGGGUAACGGCCCACCAAGUCUACGAUCAGUAGCUGAUGUGAGAGCAUGAUCAGCCACACGGGCACUGAGACACGGGCCCGACUCCUACGGGAGGCAGCAGUAAGGAAUAUUGGACAAUGGACGCAAGUCUGAUCCAGCCAUGCCGCGUGAAGGAUUAAGGUCCUCUGGAUUGUAAACUUCUUUUAUAAGGGACGAAAAAAGGUCUUUCUAGAUCGUCUGACGGUACCUUAUGAAUAAGCACCGGCUAACUCCGUGCCAGCCGCCGCCGUAAUAC
rnacentral:rRNA from 1 species